UGGAGACUCGAAUGUAGCUCCAGGUCACGUGAAGCUCUUGAAGAAAGGAAACAAGAUGGAGGUCGUUUUGUAGUAAAUACCAAGGUCGUCUUUAUUCAGACACAUGGAACUAGUAAUAGUGACAAGUGUAUUUAUAGAAACUAUUUUCAGGAUCUUCAAUGCGAGGAGGAGGGGUUGAAUUGAAGAAUCAAAAUAUAUUUGUGAUACAGUUCAUUUAUACCACCUCAUUAUCAUUCAUUCAUCAUAGACUUAGCAGCACUUGUUUACUGUACAGUGUACAUAUACUCUGUAUCUUUUGUCGACACUUGUUAACCAGGAUUAGUUUUCUAACAACUGGUUGAAAUUAUGUAUAAAAGAAGAAAGUGUAAAUUUAUAUCUAUAUAUAUUUAAGAAUUGGAAGCCCGUAAAGCACUUAAGUCAUAUAUUACAAUAUGCUUAAAAACUUGUUUUUGUUAUUUAUUGGUUUAAUUUUUUAAUAAAAUAUAUUUUUUUUGGUUUU